rnacentral:sRNA from 1 species
ACAAGUCCGGUCCUAUUUUUGCAACGAGG